GCAUCGAUAGUUUAGUGGUAGAAUACUCGCCUCCCAUGCGAAUGGUCCGGGUUCGAUUCCCGGUCGAUGCA